AUGGCGUCAAGCCCUGGAGAUGCUGAAAUUUUGGAGACUUCAUGUGCUGUGUUUUUGCUAUGUGUGGAAUCACUGUGGUACGAUCAGAAAAUCUUCGGUGGAGGAACGAAACUGGUUGUGACAGAUAAAGACUUUGAAGGAGACAUUUCCCCCAAGCCUAUCAUUUUUCUUCCUUCAGUGGCUGAAACAAAUUUCCAUAAGGCUGGGACAUAUCUCUGUCUUCUGGAGAACUUUUUUCCAGAUGUUGUCAAGGUAUAUUGGAAAGAAAAAGGUGGGGAUACAGUUCUGGAAUCCUAUCAGGGAGAUACGAUGAAGAUCAAUGACACUUAUAUGAAAUUCAGCUGGUUAAGCGUGACUGGAGACUCAAUGGAUAAAGAGCACAAAUGUAUUGUGACUCACCAGAAUAACAGAGGAGGAGUUGAUCAGGAGAUUCUGUUUCCAGCCAUAGAAAAAGUUGGCACCAAUAUUAAUCCCACAGGAGCAGGUUUGAAAGAAGAAGAUGUUGUCAGUAUUACCCCAGAUCCUGAAAAUUUUCAGAAAAGCAAAGUUGGUAGAAAAGCCAGACCCCUGCCUAUUUCAGAACAGAGUGAGGGCAUCGUUUCCCAGGAGUCAUCCUUUUAA